UUCCAUUCCCGCGGCCCCCAAAAUCCCCAAUCUCUUAGAACCCUAAUCGUCUCCUCACUCUCUCAGUCUCAUCUCAAGUUCAACUCAUCACUGUCUCUCUCCCUCACUCUCUCAUUUCGUUGUUCUUUAUAUCUGCACCGAUCACUCUCUGACUCUCUCGUUGUUCAUCUCAUCGCACCGCCGAUCUACUCACAGUCUCACACUCUGGUUUUGCAUCUCUGCACCGAUCAACUCACAGGUGUCAAAUAGCAGUCCAUCAAGAGUGCUAUGGAGUAAACAAUGUUCAGGAUUUUACAUCAUGGGUUUGCAGAGCAUGCGAAACUCCUAAUGUUGAGAAGGAGUGUUGUCUCUGCCCUGUUAAAGGCAUUCCCAUUGAUAUCCUUAUUUAUGCAUUAAAUACCCAGUUUCAUUUUCUGUUUUUUGAUUCUUAUAGAUUUGAAUGCUGCUUCUGCAAGGGGAGCUUUGAAGCCAACUGAUGUUGACUCCCUGUGGGUCCAUGUCACAUGUGCUUGGUUCUGGCCUGAAGUUGCUUUUGUAGAUGCUGAGAAGAUGGAGCCUGCAGUUGGACUUCUUAGAAUUCCAUCACAUUCUUUUGUAAAGGUAUGAGUCUUAUUUAAAAUCAUUGUAGAAAUGGUGUUUCUAACUGACAUAGUGAC